rnacentral:lncRNA from 1 species
AGAUACCAACAUGAGCAUGAAACAUACUCCACAAAGGAGCUGUUCAACAAGGGGUCCCAUGAUUUCAGGGCCACUAGUCCAGAAAAGGAUAUUCAGUCACGGUGCAAAAGAAGAGGGUAUAUGAGGACCUCUUUGAAGGGAGCUGAGAAAAGGACCUGGGGAAGCCCCUCAGCCUGGUGAUCUUUCUCCUGCUUCCUGAAAACCCAGCACUCUUCAUACCUAUCCUAUCCUGGCUUGGCUGUAGACUGAGUGGACGGUCUUUCCUCCAGAGGAACUUCUAUGAGAGUCCAACAGACAACCAGAUUCCAGAAUCAUAUGGAGAAACCAGCUUUCUAUCCAUGGCCUAAAGGAAGCUGAAACAGCUUAGAGGCUGAAGAAAUGAACCACAGAGCUUGAAACAGAGGCAAUCAAGUCAUCUCAAACAGCGGGACUAGGAAAUCUAAGUCAAGUCUGAAGAGAAAGGCAAGUCUCUUUUAGGCUGUCAGCCACCAAAGCAGCUAGCAAAUACAAGGACACUGAAAGGCAUUCUGCCAACACGACCUCAGAAGUAUUUACAGACUGCAAUGGAGACCAUGAUAUAAUUCAGUUUCUGCAUGGCUAUACUCUUUGCCAAUUAAUAUUCUAAUGUAUCCUUUGAGGAUGUGGUAAAUGUUGGUUUAAGAUAAAACAGCAAAGACAAAUAUUAGUGUGCCACAUAAAGGUAUUACUUGCCAUGAGAGCACUGUUUCUUAGUACAGACUACCUGGAUUGCACAACCAGAGAUUCUGGUCUCACUGGACCAGAGUGUACAGCCUGGGUACCAGGAUUUUCAAAUAGCCUCGUCCACCUAGUGAUUCUAAUAAGCAGCUAUGAUUGAGAAACACUGUACUCGUCAAUUACCAGAAUGUUUUGUAUUCUAUUUGGAACACAACUAAAAUUUGACCUGAUGAACUCGUGCAAAAUAUUAAAAGCUGAACCUGCAGAGGCCAGAUGCAGUGGCUCAUGCCUGUAAUCUUACCACGUUGGGAGGCUGAGUCAGGCAGAUCGCUUGAACCCAGGGGUUCAAGACCAGCCUAGGCUACAUGGUGAAACUUCAUCUCUAUUAAAAAUACAAAAAUUAGCCAGGCAUGGUGAUAUGCACCUGUAGUCCCAGCUACUCAGGAGGCUAAGGUGGGAGAAUGGCUUGAACCUCCAGAGGCAAAGGUUGCAGUGAGCUAUGAUCGUGCCACUGUACUCCAGUUUGGGUGACAGAAUGAGACCCUGUCUCAAAAACAAACAACAAACAAAAAAGGCUGAAACUGCAGAGAAAUAGGGAGAGGACUAUGGAAAUAUUAUAGAAAGAUAAAUAGCUGAAGAAGUAAUGUCACCGCCACACACCCUAACCUGAUAUUUGAGGAAAAGAGACGAAACACACAAGUAACAAAAACAAAAGGUGAAGCUUGGUUAGUCCAAUCCUUGAUGCCCAGAAAAAAAUCUUACAGGAGACCAGAAGAUAAGGGCCAACAAAAGCUGAACAGAAGUUCAGUGAAAAUCAGUAAGGUCUUUAGGAUAGUCUAGUUCUGCCUCAUUUUCCUGAGGCAGCAGUGGGAAGCAGCUGGCCCUCCUGCCCCUCUCCCCAGCCCCUCCAGGCCUGCAUGCUAUCCUUGGGGACCCUAGGCCUCUGCUGGGAUUUCCCUCUGCUGUGGGGAUUUCCAUGCUGGCCUAGAGGCCCGCGGCAAGUAGCCCAGUUGCUAGAGCCUGGAGGCAGGUGAGCAGGGUGGUAGAAGGUGAGGGAGUGAUGUCAGAGAAGCCUCUCAACAGACAGCAUCAGCUUCCUGACGCUUAGAAGACCCCUUGUUUCUUCCAUCUCUUCAGAGCCAGGGCCAUCAGGUGGCCCAUAAACUCCUUUUUCACAUGCAAGCUGAGAAGGCUGUGAGCCAGCCACAUGGCAGGGGGUUGAGAGGCCAUCACCCUGCGUGUUCACCGCCUCUCCUCGCUGCUGCUGGAAGGAAAGGGCUUUGCCUCCAGUUAAGGGAACAUGAGGUCCUCAUAAAGGUUUCAGAGAGUUGGAGCAGAGAUGGAGGGGCUGAUAACUUGUCUCUGUCCCUAAUAUCUGACAGAAACAAAGAGCAAGGAAUACAACACUUACUAUUUAACAUUUAAUUUAGGAUGGCACCAAUUUCCAUUAAGUGAAGCAUCAAGGAAAAAUGCU